rnacentral:tRNA from 2 species
CAGAGAGUAGUUUAAUAAAAUAUUAGUUUUGGGAAUUAAAGAUAAAAGUUUACUUUUUUCUCUGA